rnacentral:rRNA from 1 species
UUAAGCGACUAAGCGUACACGGUGGAUGCCCUGGCAGUCAGAGGCGAUGAAGGACGUGCUAAUCUGCGAUAAGCGUCGGUAAGGUGAUAUGAACCGUUAUAACCGGCGAUUUCCGAAUGGGGAAACCCAGUGUGUUUCGACACACUAUCAUUAACUGAAUCCAUAGGUUAAUGAGGCGAACCGGGGGAACUGAAACAUCUAAGUACCCCGAGGAAAAGAAAUCAACCGAGAUUCCCCCAGUAGCGGCGAGCGAACGGGGAGCAGCCCAGAGUCUGAAUCAGUGUGUGUGUUAGUGGAAGCGUCUGGAAAGGCGCGCGAUACAGGGUGACAGCCCCGUACACAAAAAUGCACAUACUGUGAGCUCGAUGAGUAGGGCGGGACACGUGGUAUCCUGUCUGAAUAUGGGGGGACCAUCCUCCAAGGCUAAAUACUCCUGACUGACCGAUAGUGAACCAGUACCGUGAGGGAAAGGCGAAAAGAACCCCGGCGAGGGGAGUGAAAAAGAACCUGAAACCGUGUACGUACAAGCAGUGGGAGCACGCUUAGGCGUGUGACUGCGUACCUUUUGUAUAAUGGGUCAGCGACUUAUAUUCUGUAGCAAGGUUAACCGAAUAGGGGAGCCGAAGGGAAACCGAGUCUUAACUGGGCGUUAAGUUGCAGGGUAUAGACCCGAAACCCGGUGAUCUAGCCAUGGGCAGGUUGAAGGUUGGGUAACACUAACUGGAGGACCGAACCGACUAAUGUUGAAAAAUUAGCGGAUGACUUGUGGCUGGGGGUGAAAGGCCAAUCAAACCGGGAGAUAGCUGGUUCUCCCCGAAAGCUAUUUAGGUAGCGCCUCGUGAAUUCAUCUCCGGGGGUAGAGCACUGUUUCGGCAAGGGGGUCAUCCCGACUUACCAACCCGAUGCAAACUGCGAAUACCGGAGAAUGUUAUCACGGGAGACACACGGCGGGUGCUAACGUCCGUCGUGAAGAGGGAAACAACCCAGACCGCCAGCUAAGGUCCCAAAGUCAUGGUUAAGUGGGAAACGAUGUGGGAAGGCCCAGACAGCCAGGAUGUUGGCUUAGAAGCAGCCAUCAUUUAAAGAAAGCGUAAUAGCUCACUGGUCGAGUCGGCCUGCGCGGAAGAUGUAACGGGGCUAAACCAUGCACCGAAGCUGCGGCAGCGACGCUUAUGCGUUGUUGGGUAGGGGAGCGUUCUGUAAGCCUGUGAAGGUGUGCUGUGAGGCAUGCUGGAGGUAUCAGAAGUGCGAAUGCUGACAUAAGUAACGAUAAAGCGGGUGAAAAGCCCGCUCGCCGGAAGACCAAGGGUUCCUGUCCAACGUUAAUCGGGGCAGGGUGAGUCGACCCCUAAGGCGAGGCCGAAAGGCGUAGUCGAUGGGAAACAGGUUAAUAUUCCUGUACUUGGUGUUACUGCGAAGGGGGGACGGAGAAGGCUAUGUUGGCCGGGCGACGGUUGUCCCGGUUUAAGCGUGUAGGCUGGUUUUCCAGGCAAAUCCGGAAAAUCAAGGCUGAGGCGUGAUGACGAGGCACUACGGUGCUGAAGCAACAAAUGCCCUGCUUCCAGGAAAAGCCUCUAAGCAUCAGGUAACAUCAAAUCGUACCCCAAACCGACACAGGUGGUCAGGUAGAGAAUACCAAGGCGCUUGAGAGAACUCGGGUGAAGGAACUAGGCAAAAUGGUGCCGUAACUUCGGGAGAAGGCACGCUGAUAUGUAGGUGAAGUCCCUUGCGGAUGGAGCUGAAAUCAGUCGAAGAUACCAGCUGGCUGCAACUGUUUAUUAAAAACACAGCACUGUGCAAACACGAAAGUGGACGUAUACGGUGUGACGCCUGCCCGGUGCCGGAAGGUUAAUUGAUGGGGUCAGCGCAAGCGAAGCUCUUGAUCGAAGCCCCGGUAAACGGCGGCCGUAACUAUAACGGUCCUAAGGUAGCGAAAUUCCUUGUCGGGUAAGUUCCGACCUGCACGAAUGGCGUAAUGAUGGCCAGGCUGUCUCCACCCGAGACUCAGUGAAAUUGAACUCGCUGUGAAGAUGCAGUGUACCCGCGGCAAGACGGAAAGACCCCGUGAACCUUUACUAUAGCUUGACACUGAACAUUGAGCCUUGAUGUGUAGGAUAGGUGGGAGGCUUUGAAGUGUGGACGCCAGUCUGCAUGGAGCCGACCUUGAAAUACCACCCUUUAAUGUUUGAUGUUCUAACGUUGGCCCCUAAUCGGGGUUGCGGACAGUGUCUGGUGGGUAGUUUGACUGGGGCGGUCUCCUCCUAAAGAGUAACGGAGGAGCACGAAGGUUGGCUAAUCCUGGUCGGACAUCAGGAGGUUAGUGCAAUGGCAUAAGCCAGCUUGACUGCGAGCGUGACGGCGCGAGCAGGUGCGAAAGCAGGUCAUAGUGAUCCGGUGGUUCUGAAUGGAAGGGCCAUCGCUCAACGGAUAAAAGGUACUCCGGGGAUAACAGGCUGAUACCGCCCAAGAGUUCAUAUCGACGGCGGUGUUUGGCACCUCGAUGUCGGCUCAUCACAUCCUGGGGCUGAAGUAGGUCCCAAGGGUAUGGCUGUUCGCCAUUUAAAGUGGUACGCGAGCUGGGUUUAGAACGUCGUGAGACAGUUCGGUCCCUAUCUGCCGUGGGCGCUGGAGAACUGAGGGGGGCUGCUCCUAGUACGAGAGGACCGGAGUGGACGCAUCACUGGUGUUCGGGUUGUCAUGCCAAUGGCACUGCCCGGUAGCUAAAUGCGGAAGAGAUAAGUGCUGAAAGCAUCUAAGCACGAAACUUGCCCCGAGAUGAGUUCUCCCUGACUCCUUGAGAGUCCUGAAGGAACGUUGAAGACGACGACGUUGAUAGGCCGGGUGUGUAAGCGCAGCGAUGCGUUGAGCUAACCGGUACUAAUGAACCGUGAGGCUUAACCUU